GAUGAACGCUGGCGGCGUGCCUAAUACAUGCAAGUCGAGCGAACAGAUGAGGAGCUUGCUCCUCUGACGUUAGCGGCGGACGGGUGAGUAACACGUGGAUAACCUACCUAUAAGACUGGGAUAACUUCGGGAACCCGGAGCUAAUACCGGAUAAUAUAUUGAACCGCAUGGUUCAAUAGUGAAAGACGGUUUUGCUGUCACUUAUAGAUGGAUCCGCGCCGCAUUAGCUAGUUGGUAAGGUAACGGCUUACCAAGGCAACGAUGCGUAGCCGGCCUGAGAGGGUGAUCGGCCACACUGGAACUGAGACACGGUCCAGACUCCUACGGGAGGCAGCAGUAGGGAAUCUUCCGCAAUGGGCGAAAGCCUGACGGAGCAACGCCGCGUGAGUGAUGAAGGUCUUCGGAUCGUAAAACUCUGUUAUUAGGGAAGAACAAAUGUGUAAGUAACUAUGCACGUCUUGACGGUACCUAAUCAGAAAGCCACGGCUAACUACGUG
rnacentral:rRNA from 1 species